AGAAGCUCUAAGGCAGAAUGCUUUCCUCAUGCUUUUCAGCUUCUUACUGCUGCUGGCAUCCCAUAGCUUGUGCCGUAUUAAACAACUGGAAAAAGAAAAAGAAAAACCACAUAGUCCCUGUUCUGAAGGAAUUGGCAAGGACAACAUCAAAGAGGAUAUGCAAGAAAUUCAGGAAGUGCUAAAGUAAAGUUUCCUCCACCCUCAGAAAGCACCUACUUCACCAUAUCUGAGGUCUAUACAGAGCUUCAGA